rnacentral:rRNA from 1 species
ACAUACAACCAUAGAUUGAGGAAAAUUGGGCAUCCCGUCCGCUCUGCCAUACACAAGCCCCAAAUUGGCAGUCUAGUUGUUGGGUGGGUGACCACCAGCGAAUCCCUGCUGUUGUAUAAU